rnacentral:rRNA from 1 species
AACGAACGCUGGCGGCAUGCCUAACACAUGCAAGUCGAACGAAGUCUUCGGACUUAGUGGCGCACGGGUGCGUAACGCGUGGGAAUCUGCCCUUGGGUGCGGAAUAACUUCUCGAAAGGGAUGCUAAUACCGCAUAAUGUCGUAAGACCAAAGAUUUAUCGCCCAAGGAUGAGCCCGCGUAAGAUUAGCUAGUUGGUAGGGUAAAAGCCUACCAAGGCGACGAUCUUUAGCUGGUCUGAGAGGAUGAUCAGCCACACUGGGACUGAGACACGGCCCAGACUCCUACGGGAGGCAGCAGUGGGGAAUAUUGGACAAUGGGCGAAAGCCUGAUCCAGCAAUGCCGCGUGAGUGAUGAAGGCCCUAGGGUUGUAAAGCUCUUUUACCAGGGAUGAUAAUGACAGUACCUGGAGAAUAAGCUCCGGCUAACUCCGUGCCAGCAGCCGCGGUAAU